rnacentral:rRNA from 1 species
CUAUGCUGAGACAUGGCUCUGUAGACAGAAGGACCAAUCCAAACCUUGGUGGAUCUCAGAAAGCUAAGCAGUGUUGGGCCUAGUUAGCAUUGGAUGGGUGUCCACUAGAAAGUUUUGGGCUGCAGGCUAAA